rnacentral:rRNA from 1 species
GACAGAGGAUGCAAGCGUUAUCCGGAAUGAUUGGGCGUAAAGCGUCUGUAGGUGGCUUUUUAAGUCUGCCGUCAAAUCCCAGGGCUUAACCCUGGACAGGCGGUGGAAACUACCAAGCUGGAGUACGGUAGGGGCAGAGGGAAUUUCCGGUGGAGCGGUGAAAUGCGUAGAGAUCGGAAAGAACACCAACGGCGAAAGCGCUCUGCUAGGCCGCAACUGACACUCAUGGACGAAAGCUAGGGGAGCGAAUGGG